rnacentral:rRNA from 1 species
UAUUAAAGAAUUUCGGUUAUCGAUGGGGAUGCGUUCCAUUAGUUAGUUGGCGGGGUAACGGCCCACCAAGACGACGAUGGAUAGGGGUUCUGAGAGGAAGGUCCCCCACAUUGGAACUGAGACACGGUCCAAACUCCUACGGGAGGCAGCAGUGAGGAAUAUUGGUCAAUGGACGAGAGUCUGAACCAGCCAAGUAGCGUGAAGGAUGACUGCCCUAUGGGUUGUAAACUUCUUUUAUAUGGGAAUAAAACAGGGUAUGUAUACCCUCUUGUAUGUACCAUAUGAAUAAGGAUCGGCUAACUCCGUGCCAGCAGCCGCGGUAAUACGGAGGAUCCGAGCGUUAUCCGGAUUUAUUGGGUUUAAAGGGAGCGUAGGUGGAUUGUUAAGUCAGUUGUGAAAGUUUGCGGCUCAACCGUAAAAUUGCAGUUGAAACUGGCAGUCUUGAGUACAGUAGAGGUGGGCGGAAUUCGUGGUGUAGCGGUGAAAUGCUUAGAUAUCACGAAGAACUCCGAUUGCGAAGGCAGCUCACUGGACUGCAACUGACGCUGAUGCUCGAAAGUGUGGGUAUCAAACAGGAUUAGAUACCCUGGUAGUCCACACAGUAAACGAUGAAUACUCGCUGUUUGCGAUAUACAGUAAGC